ensembl:lncRNA novel transcript, antisense to SLITRK1
GCACUCUGAAAGAUCUGACACCCUCUGCUGAUCUGCAGUAGCAAAAAUCCAUCUGGCUAGGGAAUGCUGAAAGAAAAAAAAAUCAAUCCACGUACAGGGCAAGCGUUAAAAAUGUGGGCAUAAAAGGCUGACGAUCUACAUAGAUGCUUAUUUUAAAUGGAUUAUUUGAUUAUUUUUGCGUGCUGGAAACUUUACCCUUUCCUUUCCUUAACGAGUUCACAGCCCCCACCAGCUCCACCAUUCGGAAAGGAGUGCUUUUAAAACAUUUAUUUCCCAAUGGCUUGAAUAAAAUUAGUGUCAGGGUGUCAAGCGAACAGCAAUUUGAGGAGAGCUGCUGGAAGCCAAGAAAUGAAAAGAGAAUGGGGAAAUCCAGACAGAUUUAUGUAUAUAUUAAGGGUUUAUCUUGGAGGUUGAAAUCACAAUUCAAGAGGAAAUUCUUCAUGGGACAUUCUAAAGGAAAGUAAUGAUAACUAAUGUACCCACCAGAACCUCUUCUCACGUAAAAAUUGCCGCUGUCCCCAGCAAAUUCCGUCAAUCAUUUUACAAAUGCUAGCUUAUUAAAGAUAUACCAAAAAGUAGGUAACUAGGGCUAAAUCUGAGACCAUGAUGUUUCAGAGUUUUAGAAUAUUAUUGUGAAUACACAGGAGAAAACAAAUUUAAAUUUUGUAAUCACAUUUGAAAAGUCAGAGCAUCACUUUGAGGGUGGCAUUGAGAUUUAUGGCCAGAAGUCAAGUUCAGCUUUAAGUUUAAUGCCAUUCAGCCUGUAUCUGUGUCCCUGCAGCUAGGGUAGCUAGCUAGGUUCCUGUUUCUUCUUGGACAACCAUCUCUAUCAUAGUCAUUUAUUUCUAUUUUUAAAUAUAGCUUGGUACAUGGGUUUAUCUUAAAAGUACAACACAUACUCAGUUUCCAACUAUUUCAAGAUGAAGUUCAUAACUAAAUCACAGUAAGGUGUACUUUUCCUAGAAUAUUUUGCAUUGCCCAAAGCCUUUCCCUUUAACAUAGUACAAUGAAGCCUAGGAUGUGAGCUUUUAUCUAGUAGCUGAUUUGCAUAAUGUAAGUAUGCACACAUACAUAUAUGUAAAUGCACAUAUGUGUGUUUUCUGAAAUGUGGUUUUCUGUUUCAACUUGGUUCUUAUUAGAAUGAUUUUUUAAAGUGACUAAAUAUUCUUUAGAUUCAUUUGUUUUUUCAAUAAAAUUGACAUAGUAACUCAUUUUUGAGAAAAUAAGCUUCUGUAUAUAAUAAUGGAUGACAUCCAUUCUUUGUCAUUGUCUAUGUAACAUUCUCUGCCUACCCUAUUUUUUUUUAACUCCCUUCAACCCAUUUUCCAAUAUGGCGUAGCUUGAAAUUCUCACUCUAAAAAAAAUCCAUUCACUAGCAUGGAAAAUAUAUCAGCAUAUAAAUUUCAAAUAUAGUGAAAAUAUGAAUAAUAUCUUUGAAGUAAGUUUACUAGUUGAAUAGCUAUGUUAAAAGUAAUUGUGUAAAACAGAUACUAGAUUUGCAUUCUAAAACUCAUAGAGUAACAAUGUUUUCUUACAUAAAGUUUUUGGUAUAAUAGGUUUUACUUGAAGAGGACGAAUUUAGGAAAGUCUCAUUUUACAGUAGGUUUCUAAAAGGACUUUAGGCUUAUUUUACAUAGCCAUUGAUUUUUACAGAUCAUUAGACUGACCACAUAUUAUUUUAAUCUAGCUGCAUUUAGUUAAAUUGGUUAUUUGUAAUGUUUGUGACUUUUGCUAACUUAAAUUGCUUGUUUAUUAGCAUACGACCUGCAUAAAAAUAAUUGUUAUUGAAGAAUAUCACUACCAGAAAUUGCAAAUAUUAUCACUAUGAUUUAAAAAUUAAGUAUAAAACCACCA